AUGGCUGACGCCGAGGACAUCCAGCCCCUCGUCUGCGACAAUGGUACCGGUAUGGUCAAGGCUGGGUUCGCUGGAGAUGAUGCUCCCAGGGCCGUCUUCCCCAGUAUCGUGGGUCGCCCACGCCACACCGGUGUCAUGGUCGGGAUGGGGCAGAAGGACGCCUACGUUGGUGACGAGGCGCAGUCCAAGAGGGGUAUCUUGACUCUCAAGUACCCCAUUGAGCACGGUAUCGUCAGCAACUGGGACGACAUGGAGAAGAUCUGGCAUCACACCUUCUACAACGAGCUCCGUGUCGCCCCAGAGGAGCACCCUGUCCUUCUCACUGAGGCGCCGCUCAACCCCAAGGCCAAUCGUGAGAAGAUGACACAGAUCAUGUUCGAGACCUUCAACACUCCUGCUAUGUACGUCGCCAUCCAGGCCGUCCUCUCGCUGUACGCCAGUGGUCGUACCACAGGUAUCGUGCUGGACUCUGGAGAUGGUGUCAGCCACACUGUCCCCAUCUACGAAGGAUAUGCUCUCCCCCAUGCUAUCCUUCGUCUCGACUUGGCUGGGCGUGAUCUCACCGAUUACCUCAUGAAGAUCCUGACUGAGCGUGGUUACUCAUUCACCACCACUGCUGAGCGGGAAAUUGUGAGGGACGUGAAGGAGAAGCUGUCCUACAUUGCCCUGGACUACGACCAGGAAAUGGAGACUUCCAAGACCAGCUCUUCUGUGGAGAAGAGCUACGAGCUUCCUGAUGGGCAGGUUAUCACCAUUGGUUCUGAGCGUUUCCGUUGCCCUGAGGUCCUCUUCCAGCCAUCCUUCAUUGGGAUGGAAGCUGCAGGUAUUCAUGAGACUACCUACAACUCCAUCAUGAAGUGCGACGUGGAUAUUAGGAAGGAUCUGUACGGCAACAUUGUUCUUAGUGGUGGUACCACUAUGUUCACUGGAAUCGCUGAUAGGAUGAGCAAGGAGAUCACUGCCUUGGCUCCUAGCAGCAUGAAGAUUAAGGUUGUUGCUCCUCCUGAAAGGAAGUACAGUGUCUGGAUCGGAGGAUCCAUCUUGGCAUCUCUCAGCACCUUCCAGCAGGUAAAUAAACGAUGCAGCAUCGUACUUCAUUCAUUUCAUUCAUGGAUUUUUGUUUCUUUGCUUACGGUGUUGCUUGUUGCUGCAGAUGUGGAUUGCAAAGGCUGA
rnacentral:rRNA from 1 species